UCGAUUAGCAUGCAGAGUCGAGAGGUGCGAGACCUCGGCGCACUGCUCAGUAACACGUGGACAACCUACCCUGUGGAGGGGGAUAACCCCGGAAAACUGGGGAUAAUACCCCAUAGGUUAGGGAGGCUGGAAUGCCCCCUAGCUCAAAGGUCCGCCGCCACAGGAUGGGUCUGCGGCCGAUUAGGUUGUUGUUGGGGUAACGGCCCAACAAGCCUUUGAUCGGUACGGGUUGUGGGAGCAAGAGCCCGGAGAUGGAUUCUGAGACACGAAUCCAGGCCCUACGGGGCGCAGCAGGCGCGAAAACUUUACAAUGCGAGAAAUCGUGAUAGGGGAACCCCGAGUGCCCGUAAAUUCGGGUUGUCCGCCAGUGCAAAAAACUGGGGAAG
rnacentral:rRNA from 1 species